AAUACAUUUGAUCAAAUAUAUAAAGUAAAAUGAAAUGACUACAGAAUAAUUUAUUACAGUGUCCUUCCCUGGCCACAGAAGACUCUGUGACAUCAAAGAGGAGUUCUAUAGGAUUGCAGGUUUCCCCAAUGUCACUGGUGCACUGGACUGCACACACCCUGGAUAAAAUCCCCCCCAGGGGCCCAUGAGGUGGAUUUUGUGAAAAGGAAAUCAUUUCACAGCAUUAAUGUUCAGAUGGUCUGCAAUGCUGACUGUCUGAUCAACAGACAUUGACUGAGG